AGUCACCUAUAAGGAUAAACCCAAUAACACCAACUCAAACAAUAGUGGAAAGCUGGCAGACAAGAACAACAAGCAACUCAACCUUUGAUAUACGAGAAAUAAUCAUAAAAUCUGGAGGAUCAACAUUAAUAACAUCCUUAGACCGAGACAGGCACCUAAGCCUUAAGGAGUGACGUCAGAUGGUGCGGUUAUUGGUUUCUCACUUGAUGGAAAGUUUUUGGGAAACGUGAGUACAAGUAAAAUCACUUGAACAAUACAUUUAAAUAAAUAAACUUGCCUAUUUAAAUGAUUGUUUAUUUGUAAAGCCCAUCAGCUGAGAUCAAAAAGGAGAUGGCUUUGGCACUAACUGCCCAGUUUCCUUGCCUGAAGAACAAUGAGGGACAUGGUUAUGAGUCAUGGUAUACACCUGGUCGUUAUUGUCACCCUGCAACAGGUUACCUGGAAGAAAGACUAUGUGAGGAAACGUCUUAGAGCCCCACACAGUCAGAGACAGCAAA